rnacentral:rRNA from 1 species
CACGUAGGGGGCGAGCGUUGUCCGGAAUUAUUGGGCGUAAAGAGCUCGUAGGCGGUGUGUCGCGUCGGCCGUGAAAACCUGCAGCUUAACUGUGGGCUUGCGGUCGAUACGGGCAUCACUGGAGUUCGGCAGGGGAGACUGGAAUUCCUGGUGUAGCGGUGAAAUGCGCAGAUAUCAGGAGGAACACCGGUGGCGAAGGCGGGUCUCUGGGCCGACACUGACGCUGAGGAGCGAAAGCGUGGGGAGCGAACAGG